CAGUAUCUCUGGCCGUACGAUGUGUAUGACGUCAUUGACAUUUUAAAAGGCUUUUUAGAACAAAAAAAGCGACUUUAAAAAAUCUAACACCCAGCAGUAUGUAUUUUCUUAGCCUCCCCUUUCGAAUGCAACAUUCAAAUUACUAGACAAAAAAUGAUAUCCUGAGACAAGUGGAUUUUGAGGAGUAUAGCUCCAUAGACCGCCAUUCAUUCUGCACUUGCCCGUGAGCGCCCUCAUAUGGAACCAGAGUGGGACUGCAACCAGUUCAGAAGCCGGAAGUUUCCCGAGAGUGGAAGUUCUCCUCUUAUUAGACAUUCUCUGGUAACCUCAAAAAA